GACGAACGCUGGCGGCGUGCUUAACACAUGCCAGUCGAACGGAAAGGCCCUGCUUUUGUGGGUGCUCGAGUGGCGAACGGGUGAGUAACACGUGAGUAACCUGCCCUUGACUUUGGGAUAACUUCAGGAAACUGGGGCUAAUACCGGAUAGGAGCUCCUGCUGCAUGGUGGGGGUUGGAAAGUUUCGGCGGUUGGGGAUGGACUCGCGGCUUAUCAGCUUGUUGGUGGGGUAGUGGCUUACCAAGGCUUUGACGGGUAGCCGGCCUGAGAGGGUGACCGGCCACAUUGGGACUGAGAUACGGCCCAGACUCCUACGGGAGGCAGCAGUGGGGAAUAUUGCACAAUGGGCGGAAGCCUGAUGCAGCAACGCCGCGUGCGGGAUGACGGCCUUCGGGUUGUAAACCGCUUUCGCCUGUGACGAAGCGUGAGUGACGGUAAUGGGUAAAGAAGCACCGGCUAACUACGUG
rnacentral:rRNA from 1 species